AUGGUGGGAUUUGGUAGCCUUGCGCCCAAGACCAAGAACCUGGUGGUGGGCGGUGGGCUGACAGGGUUCGUCUUUGGGGUGUACUACUACACCAUGAGAGCGGUUGGCAGCACUGAUGAGCUGCAGGUCGCCAUCGACAAGUUUGAAGACCUGAAGAAGAAGGACGCCGCAGCCACCCCCGCCGCAAACCCCUCCACCCCAGGCUCAUCGUAG
rnacentral:rRNA from 1 species